ACAAACCCCUCAACUCCAUCUUCAUUUUCUUUGGACACUUUUGUUGGCCAUAUCCAAGAUUUAUCCAUUUCAACAAUGAUGCAUAUUAAUGUAAAAUUUUAUUUAAUUGAAACAAAUGGGGAAAUUAAGUUGCCAUGCAUCAUUCCCAACAUACAAUAAAUUAUUAAAUUAAGCAAUCACGUAUCAUUCCCAACAUACCCAAAAUUGUUAAAUUAAGUAGCCAUGCAUGCCUUCCUCACAUGUAAAGCAACAAAGGACAAAACAAGACAUUUGUUGUCAAGGAACCCAUUAUCACAAGUCACCAAUGUAUAGCUAAAGUGAAAAUGUAUUUAUGUUAAACAUGUAUUCAUAUCUUCAGCAAUCAAACACCUUCUCGUAAUUUUGUAGACGAUUUUAGCACAGCAGUAGAACAACAAUUUAUAAAAUUGAAUUAGUUGAAGAAACAAUCUGCCAACCACAUGCAAACUAGAACAAUAUUAGUACUUUUAUCAGUAAAUAUAUUGAUCAUGGUCAGAAAGGUAAAUUUAUUAGUAAAUAUAUUAGAAUCAAUAUUCAUAUAAUAUCAAUUUCAAAUGACAGAUUGACAAGUACAUAAUAUAAAUUAGAAAGAAACAAUGAAAACACCUCAACCAAUAAAUACGGUUUUAAUAGUAUAUCUAGGAUGACGAGGAAGAUGAACUAAAUUUCUGCAUACUACAGUCAAAUUCACAAAAUCUUUAAAAAUUCAAUACCAAGGCUAUUCAUAUGAUUCCAAUUGUAAAUGAAAGGUUGAUAAGUGUAUAAUGUGAUGUGGAAACAAGGUAUGAAAAAAUCACAGCCAAUAGAUACAAUUUUAGAAGCUUAUCCAACAUGGUGAGAAAGGUGGAUAAAAUUUCUACCUCUUAUAAGUAAUUUCAUAAAAUCAUUACGAAUUCAAAAUGCUAUACAUAUGAUACUAGUUGCAAAAGAAAGCUUAAUUAAUGUAUAAUUUGAAAUAAAAAGAAAAUAAGCAAAUAACUUAUCCUUAGUACAAUAAUCAAUAACUCAUACAUUUUGUCAAAUACCUUAGAGGCACAAUUUUGUAUCAUCUUCUUUUGAAAAAUCGUGUUUUAAAUUCUACCAGCACAAAUACCAUACCCAACAACAGAAAAACAUGUAAAUGUUAAAAAACAAUACCCAGCCCAAAUUGGAUAAAAUUAAAAAUAAAACUAGCUCCAAGUGUUUCAAAUUGAUGUUUUCCAUUAUUGGAUAUUGUUAUUUUGAUGAGAGAUUAAAGAAUAAAGUAGCAGAUAAUAUGAUAUUUCAGAAAUUAAAUGAAAUUAGCCCCCAAUUGCUUCUAAAAUAAAGGAUUCUACUAUUGAUUUGAUUAUAGUCAAAAUUGAAGAAACUAUAAUGGCUUACUUCUUUUGUAGGUUUGACAGGCUUGUUGCUUGAAUCCUCUUUUAAAUCUUCUUCUUUAGAAUCGCUAGGUGAUGUGGCUUAUCAAUUUCUAUUUGCAUAUUCAAAGAAAGGCAUGCUUGUUAAUUAGUAUGUAUCUGGCCGAAGGGUGAUUGAAGUGAAAAAGCUAGCAAGAGGGAUUUAAGGAAAUUGAAGGGGAUUUCGAUUUCAGUGGAACAAACAAGGGGCCUUAAAUUUGAGUUAGAAGAAUAAAGAUUCUAGGGUCACAACUUUUGUCGAUUUUGUUUUAGGGUUCCUGUAGAAAGCAAGGAGGGAAAUCGAUUUUAGAGGGAGGGGGAAAUGAGGAGCCAAAAAACUUCCAACUGUUCAAUUUAUAGCGAUAACGUUUUAGCAAUUAGAAUGAUGCCGUUUAGAUUUAAGAAAAUUGAAAAAAUUAAAAUAAAAUUAAAAUUACUUUUCCAAUUAGCAUUAAUGCUUGGUUAUGAUACAAUUGUAUCAAUGAUCACUGACACUUAGAUGUAAAAAGUUUUAAAAUCCGCUUAGGUCAUGAAAUGCUGGUGCUUUUUUAUUUAGCAUCAUAAACGUAGUUUCAGUGUUUCUCAUUUUUCUAGUAGUGAAUAAAAGUAAGAUUGAAUGAUUCAAAUGAGAAUAUGUCAAUUUAAUGAAAUUAAAAAGAAGUAAUACACCUAAAUAAAGGGAUAUUAUCAGUCUAACCUCAAAUCAAACUAAGAACAAAAUUCUUUCAAGGUCAUAAAGCAAACAACCUAAGCAAAAUGUUGUCUAAAAAAUGAACAUGCAUGCAAAGUUAAUAAAUAAAUAACAAUUAAAAACUACGUAAAACAAUAAUUAUGGACACCUAUAUCAUCACAAUGCAAAUAUAACAAUAUCUCAAGCGAUGGAUUAGACCACCAAGAAAAACCAGUGUGAGUCGUGCCAAGAUUAUUGAGCUUUUUAAAUUAAUAGAUACAAAUCAUUAUCACGCCCUAAUUAAUUAAUUUUGUAAUUUUCUUCAACUAAACACAAAAACUUUUAUGCUUGAAUAAAAUUAACAUAUUUUUUGUUUAGUACUUAUCUCUUAAUCUGUAUAAUACUGGUUGGCAAAUUUGCAUCCACCAAAUUUCUAACUAAAAACAAAUGUUAUUUUAUAUAACCGUUUUUUAAAUGCAAACAUCAACGGCCUGAGGAAAACUUCAUUAUAGGAAAAAGAAAGAUGCAUACACCUAAAACCUAACACUGUAUAGGUGUUUAUUUUCUAUGAAAGAAAUUGGGGACCGAAUAUUAUGAAAAGUAAUUUUUUCACCUGUUGUCCCUAAGCAAACAUUUUCCACCAUGUGUCUUAAUUUACCAUGAAAAGUAAUUUUGUCAUCAAGCUCAUUUUCAUUUCGCUAUCAUGCAAAACUCUUUAAUACAUUAUUAAGGUAGGAAUGCAAGACUAUAGUUUAGAGGUUUAUAGACUUUUGUAUAGAAUUAAAAUAAAUUUAUGUGCAACAAGUCCCGCAUUGGGCAUUACCUUAUUACCUGAAGAAUUAGACGAAAAUAAACACUUUUAGAAAUAAUACUACAUUCAGCCCAUCCUCCAAUGUAUUGAUGUCAUACAUCACUACAAUUAAUAUACCUCAUAAAUCUCAUCCAGAUAUUGUUAGAACAAGAAAUUCUUGGUGAAAAUCAUCACUUAUAACUCAAGAACAUUCAUUUUGUAUCAUCAAGAAUUAAUAACACAUUAUUCAGAAGCGUACCUGAAUCUAUAAUGCUGCAUUGCUUUCUAAGGUUGUGUGGUUGGUAUUCUAGAUUAACACAUUCUCCUAGAUAAUCCUGUAAUUUUCUCUACGCUCUCUCUGAUGAUAGGAUGUCAGAAAGAGUAGAAAGAUAUUUGUGACCUUCGGACCAUGACCAUUUAUAUAGACAACUCUUCCAUUGUUUUUAGGUAUUUCUAUUUCAGUCAGUCAUGAAAGUAGAAAUUAUCCUCAAGCCUCUAUACAUAAAAGGACUAUACUCUAUUAGAUACAUUAAAGCUCAAAUUACCAAAAACCUUAAUGGGUCACUUUUAAUUGAACUUAGCAUUAUAUGCAACACAUAAUUAUUUAUAUAUAAGCCCAACAUUGGAUUAAAGAUCUAACAAUAUUAGAUUAGAAAAUCCAACAAUCUCCCACUUGGGCUACAUGUGUAACCUUAUAAUUAUACUUUGCGAAAAUAAUUGUGUGAGCUCAACCUUAUUGUCAUUACCAAAAUGUACCUAUAACCAAUCUAGUCCAUCAAUCAUACCAAUAUAGGAUCAAAGUGGCCUUCGUUGCACUAUCAUAACUCAACCCAUCAAUGAUUGUUAUGCUAAUACAAGUGAAUGACAUGGAUCAUAAUGUGGAUAUGUAGUAUGGAAUUUCAUGAAAUGUGAUCUUAACAUACCUAUUUCCAACUGGUCCACCUUAAACCUUAGUGAGAUCAAACCAUACUAAAUUUAGAGUGUGAAUAAACUAAUUUUUUUUUGUAGAAAAUAACUUUAAACAUCUAUAAACCGAAAUAACUGAAAAAGUAUCUGUAACAUAAGACAUCUAAAGUGAAAAACUGAAACGACCCGCCCCGCAACUCCCCAGGGCGAGUCUAUCUAAACUCGUAAAAUCGAAACUAUUCUAUAAAAAUUUCGGCAGAGUCUCCCUUAUAAAUAAAACAUAUCCAAUCCUGCAAAUUAUAAAGCAACACUCCCAAAUAAUUUAAUAUCUAACCAUCCUCCAUAACCAACUUCUCAAAUCAAAAUAUCAAACAUCACCAAAAUCAUCCGAAUAUUAAAAUACAA
rnacentral:lncRNA from 1 species